rnacentral:lncRNA from 1 species
UUCAAUUCAAAUUCAAUGCCCAUUUAUUCAUCUCCCACUCUAAAAAGUAAAAGAUGCUUGAACGCUAUGAGGCUACUCUGAAAUCAUUGGUCAGUUUAUUGUACCAUUCAUAGUAGGUCAUGGAAGUUCAUUUUUUUGUCUGGGGAACUCAAGUCAUGGAAUUUUACAUUUGACUUAACAUGGGAACCCUGUGCUUCUCUAUACUUCACAUGCUAUACUAAACAUUUGCCCUACUCCAUCUUCUCACUCAAUAAUGGCUUUGAGUGAGUGGAACAUUCAUGUCAGACAUGCAUGCUAGCGGUGAAAAGUAUGAGUAAUGAUCCUCAUCCAAUCAGAAAAAAAUGACAGUUAAAUCAGAUCUAGCGCUUGUGAAAUGACAUUCAUAUAUGUGCUAUUUUCUGUCACAAUGUGAUACUUAUUCUUUGUGUCAUAAUGUGAUACUGUGUCCUUGUUUUAGGGCUGCCAGGACUGGUGUCUUCACUCAAAACCGUCCUAAACAAAAUGGCAGAUUCACCUUCUUCCAUGAAUUCCAGCCAAAGCGACUCACCAUGCACUGGCAGUGACACUGGCAGUGAAGACAUGAUGUCAUUGAGCAACUCAUCAGUGCAAGUCCCAAAACGUCUCUAUCAGAGGCUGAGUGGGAGGAGGAUGUCCCUCUUUACACAGGAACUGGCCACAUUGGUGUUUGGAAGGGAAACUUUGGCCAAGGCAAUCCUCACAGGGAAAGGGAAAAAGGCGAGCUGAAGGAGCAGCUUGAGCCAGAAAAAACCAACGCAAUUAUAGCUACAGUAGUGUCAUAAUUAUGAAUACACAAUCAUUGUGAUGAUUAAUUGACAAAUCCAUUAUCAUCAAUGAUUGUAUUUCAAUGUUAUACAUUGUCUAUCUUGUUUUAAUUCAUGCCCAUGUUUCUUUCCUGUUUUCACAGAUGCAGUGAGGGAGCGAUUCCCCAACACAGAGGUGACCGAGAUCCGGGCCCUUCUACGGAGGAAGUGCAACAAUGAGAGCUACAAGGCCUUAUCUCAUAAUCAGAGUUAGAUGUUGUUCGUUGAAGUUAAAGGCUGUUUGCUGGUGCUUUGCAAUAUCUGCUUUUGCAUUAGUGUAUCAUCUUUCUUGUGUGUUUGUGUUGUUUUCUCCUCUGUGUCAGUUCUAGUUCUUCUUCAGAUCGAUGGCACAGAAUGGUGAUGGGUAAUUAUGUUCCUGUUAUUGUGUUAUUACCAUUAUAUGUCCUUUACUUGAAUUAUGUAUUUUAGUUUGAAGUGUAAUAAAGUUCCUUUUCUGAAAUGCAAUC